GUUAUAUUUUAGUCUACAGGUGUGUCUUACCUGUCUCUGGUCAUAUUCAGUCUACAGGUGUGUCUCACCUGUCUCUGGUCAUAUUCAGUCUACAGGUGUGUCUCACCUGUCUCUGGUUAUAUUUUAGUCUACAGGUGUGUCUUACCUGUCUCUGGUUAUAUUUUAGUCUACAGGUGUGUCUUACCUGUCUCUGGUCAUAUUCAGUCUACAGGUGUGUCUCACCUGUCUCUGGUUAUAUUUUAGUCUACAGGUGUGUCUUACCUGUCUCUGGUCAUAUUCAGUCUACAGGUGUGUCUUACCUGUCUCUGGUCAUAUUCAGUCUACAGGCGUGUCUCACCUGUCUCUGGUUAUAUUUUAGUCUACAGGUGUGUCUUACCUGUCUCUGGUCAUAUUCAGUCUACAGGUGUGUCUCACCUGUCUCUGGUUAUAUUCAGUCUACAGGUGUGUCUCACCUGUCU